GUGAAUCAUCGAAUUUUUGAACGCAAAUUGCACUCUCCGGUUUUCCGGGAGGGUAUGCCUGUUGGCGGGUCAGCCUAAAAAAAAUCGACAUUGUUGCUGUUAUUUAAUGGUGACUUUCGUCGGAGAUUGGGUUAUCUUGAACCGUUGUUUUUUUGUUUGGUUUAAGCGACUUAAAAUUUUUUUUCACGGUUCGAUUA
rnacentral:misc_RNA from 1 species